rnacentral:rRNA from 1 species
CCUACGGGUGGCAGCAGUGAGGAAUAUUGGUCACUGGUCGGGAGACUGAACCAGCCAAGCCGCGUGAGGGAUGAAGGUACAGAGUAUCGUAAACCUCUUUUGUCAGGGAACAAAGGCGGGGACGUGUCCCCGGAUGCGUGUACAUGUAGAAAAAGCAUCGGCUAACUCCGUGCCAGCAGCCGCGGUAAUACGGAGGAGGCGAGCGUUAUCCGGGUUUAUUGGGUUUAAAGGGUGCGCGGGCGGUCUGUUAAGUCAGCGGUCAAAGCCCGGGGCUCAACCCCGGACCGCCGUUGAAACUGGCAGUCUCGAGUGGGAGAGAGGUAUGCGGAAGGCGCGGUGUAGCGGUGAAACGCAUAGAUAUCGCGCAGAACUCCGAGUGCGAAGGCAGCAUGCCGGCUCCACACUGACGCUGAGGCACGAAAGCGUGGGUAUCGAACAGGAUUAGAUACCCCUGUAGUC